GGCUUGGUGGUGUAGCGGUAACACACCUGCUUUACUUAAUGGAGGUUAAAGUGGGUUUAGCAGGAGUCCUUUGUUCGAUUCAAGGUCAGGCCA